CCAGUGAUUAAACAUUACUCAAUGAUCUAAAAUAAAUACUUAUAGCAAAAUGUAAGAUGCAUUUUCCAAGUAUCUCCUCCAACAAAUGAUCCUGUGAAAAGGUAUUGAGAGGUAGUAGAUAGCUUACUAUAUGAAAUGACCUGUAUAAUACAAGAUGUAUAGAUGGAUAUUUAGUAAAUUGUCACAAUGCUUUUGAAAACCAACAGAAC